rnacentral:miRNA from 1 species
UAUUAUGCUGUUAUUCAUGAG